ACCCGUUACACGCCGUUCCACCGCAGGGCGGGGAGCUCAGGGGGCGGCCGCCUCCCCGCCGGUCCGAGCCCACACGAAGUCCAUUUACUUGAGCGGGAUGAAGCGCGACGAGUGAGUCGCGCCGAUACCCGGGCGGCCGUGCUUCACGGGCUUGUAGGAGAUGGAGAACUCAGCCAGGUAGUGGCCGACCAUCUCGGGCUUAAUCUCCACCUGGUUGAAGGUCUUGCCGUUGUAGACGCCCACGACGGAGCCAAUCAUCUCCGGCACCACAAUCAUGUUGCGCAGGUGCGUGCGCACAGGCUCCGGCUUCUCGCCGCUGGCCGCCAGCUUCUUCACCUUGCGGAGCUUGACGAUGAAGGACUGGUGCUUCCGCUUCAGACCGCGCUGGAAGCGGCGGCGCUGACGAGCGGCGAACAGCUGAACGUAGUCGCUGGUCUUCAUGUCCAGCAGCUGGUCCAGGUCCACCCCGCGAUAGGUGAACUUGCGGAAAGUGCGCUUCUUGUCACCGGCGGC
rnacentral:lncRNA from 1 species